GGUGAACGCUGGCGGUAGGCCUAACACAUGCAAGUCGAACGGCAGCACAGUAAGAGCUUGCUCUUACGGGUGGCGAGUGGCGGACGGGUGAGGAAUACAUCGGAAUCUACUUUUUCGUGGGGGAUAACGUAGGGAAACUUACGCUAAUACCGCAUACGACCUACGGGUGAAAGCAGGGGAUCUUCGGACCUUGCGCGAUUGAAUGAGCCGAUGUCGGAUUAGCUAGUUGGCGGGGUAAAGGCCCACCAAGGCGACGAUCCGUAGCUGGUCUGAGAGGAUGAUCAGCCGCACUGGAACUGAGACACGGUCCAGACUCCUACGGGAGGCAGCAGUGGGGAAUAUUGGACAAUGGGCGCAAGCCUGAUCCAGCCAUACCGCGUGGGUGAAGAAGGCCUUCGGGUUGUAAAGCCCUUUUGUUGGGAAAGAAAAGCAGCAGGUUAAUACCCCGCUGUUCUGACGGUACCCAAAGAAUAAGCACCGGCUAACUUCGUG
rnacentral:rRNA from 1 species